rnacentral:lncRNA from 1 species
AGCUUCUGGCUGAAGGUUCACGCUUUGAUUUCCCUCCACUAAACAAGAUUGGUUCCCAUUAAUGUUUCUGUCGUGCAUAGGCAUCACAUGGAACUUUGAUGAUGCAAAAAGGCCAUUUCGGUUUCGACAAAUCGGUUGGUUGUUUUCUCUUGAAUUCAUGUCUUGAAAUCCAACAUUAAUCUCAAAGUUUGAAGUAUUUAACAUGUUCUCAUGUUUUGAGGCCUCUUCUUGGUCAAUUACGUUAAACCAAAUGUCCUUUUCUUUAGUAGUCAUCUUAUUCCACAAACUUUUAGUUUGAGUAACAAUCUCACGCAUUGUACCAGGAGACAAAUGCUUGAUAACUGAAGUCAACACACCAAUUUUCCAUGACUUCUUCAGAUCGUGAGGCUUUUUAUAAGGCGGUGCCGGACCUUGAUCUUUUGGCCACCAAUACUCUUCCCCUGUAGGCCAC